rnacentral:rRNA from 1 species
GACUACGGCCAUACCAUUCUGAAAGUGCCUGAUCUCGUCAGAUCUCAGAAGUCAUGCAGACUUGGGCCUGCUUAGUACUUGUAUGGGAGACCAACUAGGAACCUCAGGUGGCGUAAGCU